UGGGGAAUAUUGCACAAUGGGCGCAAGCCUGAUGCAGCCAUGCCGCGUGUGUGAAGAAGGCCUUCGGGUUGUAAAGCACUUUCAGCGAGGAGGAAGGUUUAGUAGUUAAUACCUGCUAGAUUUGACAUUACUCGCAGAAGAAGCACCGGCUAACUCCGUGCCAGCAGCCGCGGUAAUACGGAGGGUGCGAGCGUUAAUCGGAAUUACUGGGCGUAAAGCGUACGCAGGCGGCCAUUUAAGUCAGAUGUGAAAGCCCCGGGCUCAACCUGGGAACUGCAUUUGAAACUGGAUGGCUAGAGUGUGAGAGAGGGUGGUAGAAUUUCAGGUGUAGCGGUGAAAUGCGUAGAGAUCUGAAGGAAUACCAAUGGCGAAGGCAACCACCUGGAUCAACACUGACGCUCAUGUACGAAAGCGUGGGUAGCAAACAGGAUUAGAUACCCUGGUAGUCCACGCCGUAAACGAUGUCUACUAGCAGUUCGUCUCUUAAGAGAUGUCUUGCGCAGCUAACGCAUUAAGUAGACCGCCUGGGGAGUACGGCCGCAAGGUUAAAACUCAAAUGAAUUGACGGGGGCCCGCACAAGCGGUGGAGCAUGUGGUUUAAUUCGAUGCAACGCGAAGAACCUUACCAUCCCUUGACAUCCAGAGAAUUUUCCAGAGAUGGAUUAGUGCCUUCGGGAACUCUGAGACAGGUGCUGCAUGGCU
rnacentral:rRNA from 1 species